rnacentral:rRNA from 1 species
GAACGAUGAACCACUUCGGUGGGGAUUAGUGGCGAACGGGUGAGUAACACGUGGGCAAUCUGCCCUGCACUCUGGGACAAGCCCUGGAAACGGGGUCUAAUACCGGAUACUGACCCGCUUGGGCAUCCAAGCGGUUCGAAAGCUCCGGCGGUGCAGGAUGAGCCCGCGGCCUAUCAGCUUGUUGGUGAGGUAAUGGCUCACCAAGGCGACGACGGGUAGCCGGCCUGAGAGGGCGACCGGCCACACUGGGACUGAGACACGGCCCAGACUCCUACGGGAGGCAGCAGUGGGGAAUAUUGCACAAUGGGCGAAAGCCUGAUGCAGCGACGCCGCGUGAGGGAUGACGGCCUUCGGGUUGUAAACCUCUUUCAGCAGGGAAGAAGCGAAAGUGACGGUACCUGCAGAAGAAGCGCCGGCUAACUACGUGCCAGCAG